AUAAAGCGGGUGAAAAGCCCGCUCGCCGGAAGACCAAGGGUUCCUGUCCAACGUUAAUCGGGGCAGGGUGAGUCGACCCCUAAGGCGAGGCCGAAAGGCGUAGUCGAUGGGAAACGGGUUAAUAUUCCCGUACUUGGUGUUACUGCGAAGGGGGGACGGAGAAGGCUAUGUUGGCCGGGCGACGGUUGUCCCGGUUUAAGCGUGUAGGUAUGUGUUCCAGGUAAAUCCGGUUCACUUUAACACUGAGGCGUGACGACGAGGCACUACGGUGCUGAAGCAACAAAUGCCCUGCUUCCAGGAAAAGCCUCUAAGCAUCAGGUAACAUCAAAUCGUACCCCAAACCGACACAGGUGGUCAGGUAGAGAAUACCAAGGCGCUUGAGAGAACUCGGGUGAAGGAACUAGGCAAAAUGGUGCCGUAACUUCGGGAGAAGGCACGCUGACACGUAGGUGAAGUGAUUUACUCACGGAGCUGAAGUCAGCCGAAGAUACCAGCUGGCUGCAACUGUUUAUUAAAAACACAGCACUGUGCAAACACGAAAGUGGACGUAUACGGUGUGACGCCUGCCCGGUGCCGGAAGGUUAAUUGAUGGGGUCAGCGCAAGCGAAGCUCCUGAUCGAAGCCCCGGUAAACGGCGGCCGUAACUAUAACGGUCCUAAGGUAGCGAAAUUCCUUGUCGGGUAAGUUCCGACCUGCACGAAUGGCGUAAUGAUGGCCAGGCUGUCUCCACCCGAGACUCAGUGAAAUUGAACUCGCUGUGAAGAUGCAGUGUACCCGCGGCAAGACGGAAAGACCCCGUGAACCUUUACUAUAGCUUGACACUGAACAUUGAGCCUUGAUGUGUAGGAUAGGUGGGAGGCUUUGAAGUGUGGACGCCAGUCUGCAUGGAGCCGACCUUGAAAUACCACCCUUUAAUGUUUGAUGUUCUAACGUGGACCCGUGAUCCGGGUUGCGGACAGUGUCUGGUGGGUAGUUUGACUGGGGCGGUCUCCUCCUAAAGAGUAACGGAGGAGCACGAAGGUUGGCUAAUCCUGGUCGGACAUCAGGAGGUUAGUGCAAUGGCAUAAGCCAGCUUGACUGCGAGCGUGACGGCGCGAGCAGGUGCGAAAGCAGGUCAUAGUGAUCCGGUGGUUCUGAAUGGAAGGGCCAUCGCUCAACGGAUAAAAGGUACUCCGGGGAUAACAGGCUGAUACCGCCCAAGAGUUCAUAUCGACGGCGGUGUUUGGCACCUCGAUGUCGGCUCAUCACAUCCUGGGGCUGAAGUAGGUCCCAAGGGUAUGGCUGUUCGCCAUUUAAAGUGGUACGCGAGCUGGGUUUAGAACGUCGUGAGACAGUUCGGUCCCUAUCUGCCGUGGGCGCUGGAGAACUGAGGGGGGCUGCUCCUAGUACGAGAGGACCGGAGUGGACGCAUCACUGGUGUUCGGGUUGUCAUGCCAAUGGCACUGCCCGGUAGCUAAAUGCGGAAGAGAUAAGUGCUGAAAGCAUCUAAGCACGAAACUUGCCCCGAGAUGAGUUCUCCCUGAGACUUUAGGUCUCCUGAAGGAACGUUGAAGACGACGACGUUGAUAGGCCGGGUGUGUAAGCGCAGCGAUGCGUUGAGCUAACCGGUACUAAUGAACCGUGAGGCUUAACCUU
rnacentral:rRNA from 1 species